CCUGAGACUUARAGUCUCCUGAAGGAACGUUGAAGACGACGACGUUGAUAGGCCGGGUGUGUAAGCGCAGCGAUGCGUUGAGCUAACCGGUACUAAUGAACCGUGAGGCUUAACCUU
rnacentral:rRNA from 1 species